rnacentral:lncRNA from 1 species
UAACCAUCCCCAUCGAAGAAGAAUCCCCUUAACCCACGCAAAAAGAAAUCGCUUCAUCCACUCGAAGAAGGCUACCCAAAAUCAUCCAAACUGAUCAAAGAGCCCAUCAUUUUAAGAAAGAAAAAACCUAACCAUGCGAAGAAGAAACCAGUUAACCCAAGCGACGAAGAAGCCACUUAACCCACACGAAUGAAAAGGCGAUUCACCCACCAAUUAAUGGCCAACCUCACAGACUUGAAGCAUUGCUGAAGGGGAUGAGGAGGAAAUCAAGUUUUGUUAAAGGAUGUUCAAAAAAGAAAAAUAAUAAUAAUUGUUCACAAGUUUAUAGACCUAAGGUUAACCAAUAUUUUCAAUAUUUUAAAUAUGUUUAUGACUUUUGUUUGAUUUUCAUUUGAAAUACUUAUUCUUGUUACUAUACCUUGUGUUUUGUGCUUAUUUACUAAAAUCAGAGCAGUUUAAUGUUAGUUAAGA